AAAAGAAGAGCUGCAUGAUAUUUGUUUCUCCUGGAGUUUCUUCUUAUCAAAUAAUUCAAAUCUAAUUUACACUUCAUAAAAUAUUACAUGUCAGACUCUGAAACUUGUUGAAAACAAUGUUUGUUUGGUUGUAGAAAAACAAAGCAGUUUUCUGAACCCUGCUACUAUCACUAUGGUUGCUAUUUUCAUUUUUGUUGCAGAACAGUUCUCUCAUGGUGUUUCUAUUAGCUGCAAGGAACGUUGGGCUAGCUUUUGUCUUGAGUCUCUUAGGUGUUAUUGAGAGGUUGUACUUGCCAGUGAGCUAAAUGGCCCGUUGGAACAAUGUGACUGCUUGUUUGACCUUUUAAAAUGGUUUGGUGGUGCAGAUAAGUUUGGUCACAGCCCAUUGGAUUUAGAUUUUAGGAGCCGUGUGAAACAAUUUCUUAGGUAUGUUUUCUUUUUCUUAGGCAGGGCAUAUAGGUAGCAUGGGAAACAAUUUCUCGAGUAGGUUUAUUUGUUUGUUAUUAUAUUUGGGUACUUAUUUUCUAAUGUUUUUUAGGUUCUCUGUAUAACAUGGUAAAGUUGCUGGUAUGAUUUUGGAAGCAACACUGAUUUUUUUCCUGUCGACUUUGUGGACAGGCUAACAGUGAAAAUUUUAUUUGUAAAAUAUGGCGAUCCCUAUAGUGGUAUUUCUGAAGCUUCGCUAUGCUUGCUUUCCCACCAACAAGCAGUAAUCCAAUCACUGGUGCACCAGCGGCCAUCCACCAGGACGAUGCUGACAGCCAAAGAAAGCUCCUUCCCCACCGCUGACAGCCAAAACCGCUCUUGUGCUCAUCAAGGUUAGUCAAUGUAUAGGACUGCGCUUUUGUGUGUCCUUUCCUUCAAGCUGUCAUUCAGGAGAAGAGAGGAGCGAGGCCUCGAUCCAGACUCAGGAGGAGGAGGAGACGAGGAGCAACACCUAUUUUUAUUGUCCGUCAAGCCCCAUUAUACUUUGCGGUUCCAGCCACCUGAUCACUAACCUGAAUGAGUAAGUAGACCAUUAUAUAUGAUGGUCUUGCUUCCUUUUGUGAUCAUGUAUCUAUGUUAGAUCCGGUGA